rnacentral:misc_RNA from 1 species
GAAAUGCGAUAAUUAAUGUGAAUUGCAGAAUUCAGUGAAUCAUCGAGUCUUUGAACGCACAUUGCGCCCCCUGGUAUUCCGGGGGGCAUGCCUGUCCGAGCGUCAUUACUGCCCUCAAGCACGGCUUGUGUGUUGGGCUUCCGUCCCUGGCAACGGGGACGGGCCCAAAAGGCAGUGGCGGCACCAUGUCUGGUCCUCGAGCGUAUGGGGCUUUGUCACCCGCUCCCGUAGGUCCAGCUGGCAGCUAGCCUCGCAACCAAUCUUUUUAACCAGGUUGACCUCGGAUCAGGUAGGGAUACCCGCUGAACUUAAGC